rnacentral:rRNA from 1 species
GAUGAACGCUGGCGGCGUGCUUAACACAUGCAAGUCGAACGGAAAGGCUCCUGCUUGCAGGGGUACUCGAGUGGCGAACGGGUGAGUAACACGUGGGUGAUCUGCCCUGCACUUCGUGAUAAGCCUGGGAAACUGGGUCUAAUACCGGAUAGGACGAUGGUUUGGAUGCCAUUGUGGAAAGUUUUUCGGUGUGGGAUGAGCUCGCGGCCUAUCAGCUUGUUGGUGGGGUAAUGGCUUACCAAGGCGUCGACGGGUAGCCGGCAUGGGAGGGUGUACGGCCACAAUGGGCCUGAGAUACGGCGCAGACUCGUACGGGAGGCAGCAGUGGGGAAUAUUGCACAAUGGGGGCAAGCGUGAUGCAGCGGCGCCGCGUGGGGGAUGACGGCCUUCGGGUUGUAAACGCCUUUCGCUAGGGACGAAGCGGAAGUGACGGUACCUGGAGAAGAAGCACCGGCUAACUACGUG